rnacentral:rRNA from 1 species
AUUGAACGCUGGCGGCAGGCCUAACACAUGCAAGUCGGGCGGAUGAAGGGAGCUUGCUCCUGGAUUCAGCGGCGGACGGGUGAGUAAUGCCUAGGAAUCUGCCUGGUAGUGGGGGAUAACGUCCGGAAACGGGCGCUAUACCGCAUACGUCCUGCGGGAGAAAGUGGGGGAUCUUCGGACCUCACGCUAUCAGAUGAGCCUAGGUCGGAUUAGCUAGUUGGUGGGGUAAAGGCCUACCAAGGCGACGAUCCGUAACUGGUCUGAGAGGAUGAUCAGUCACACUGGAACUGAGACACGGUCCAGACUCCUACGGGAGGCAGCAGUGGGGAAUAUUGGACAAUGGGCGAAAGCCUGAUCCAGCCAUGCCGCGUGUGUGAAGAAGGUCUUCGGAUGGUAAAGCACUUUAAGUUGGGAGGAAGGGCAGUAAGUUAAUACCUUGCUGUUUUGACGUUACCAUCAGAAUAAGCACCGGCUAACUUCGUG